rnacentral:rRNA from 1 species
UACGUAGGGGGCAAGCGUUGUCCGGAUUUAUUGGGCGUAAAGAGCGUGUAGGCGGCCUGAAAGGUCAGCUGUGAAAACUCGAGGCUCAACCUCGAGACGUCGGUUGAAACCAUCUGGCUAGAGUCCGGAAGAGGAGUGUGGAAUUCCCGGUGUAGCGGUGAAAUGCGCAGAUAUCGGGAAGAACACCCGUGGCGAAGGCGGCACUCUGGGACGGUACUGACGCUGAGACGCGAAAGCGUGGGGAGCGAACGAGG